GUGUCGCUCACCUUGGUCUAUGUGCAUAUUAAACAAAGGACACAAAUGGAUUCAUGACAAAAUUGUAUUUUGGUGAUGGUGAUGUGUUUGAAGUUCUUACUUUACUGAAUGAUUUUGCUUUUUACAAAUUAUAUUAUAAUGAACUUUGCCCAUUAGUAAGAGAACUAUAUUUGGUAAAAAUUUACAUAAAUUUACCAAAUUAAUGAAAAUUGUUAAAAAUUGACUAUAAAGGGCAAUAGCUCCUAAAGGGGUCAACUGACCAUUUUGGUCAUGUUGACUUAUUUGUAGAUCUUACUUUGCUGAACAUUAUUGCUGUUUACAAUUUAUCUCUAUCUAUAAUAAUAUUCAAGAUAAUAACAAAAAACAGCAAAAUUUCCUCAAAAUUACCAAUUCAGGGGCAGCAACCCAACAACCG
rnacentral:lncRNA from 1 species